rnacentral:rRNA from 1 species
GACAGAGGAGCCAAGCGUUGUCCGGAUUGACUGGGCGUAAAGCGCACGCAGGCGGCGCAGCGCGUGGGGUGUGAAAGUGGCCGGCUCAACUGGUCAAAGCCACCUCAUACGGCUGGGCUCGAGCCCGUGAGAGGUCCGUGGAAUUGCCGGUGUAGUGGUGAAAUGCGUAGAGAUCGGCAGGAACACCCAGGGGGAAACCAGCGGACUGGCACGGUGCUGACGCUCAGGUGCGACAGCGUGGGGAGCGAACGGG